rnacentral:ncRNA from 1 species
UGGGGAGGAGGUAGAGAAUUCGGGAAUGGAUUUGAGCCAGGAAGGAGGGAGGGGUGGGAUGAAGGUUUGGUUUUACUUCUCAGUAUCCUUGUUUUGAUUUGAUUUGUAGUAAAUUAAAUUGAUUUUGUUUCUUCCUCCAGUUGAGCCUGUCUUUUGCCCGUGACCAUAAGUGGGAGUGAUGCCUCCCAGUUCUUGUCUCGACCCACGAGCCUUUCUUGAUCGUUUCUCCUCAUCCUACCGUGGCUGGGGCAGGUGGUGGGGAGUGAGCAAGCGGCUGCGUGGUGCUUUGUUACCAGCUGGGCUGAAAGCAUAACAGUGAUCAAUAAAUAGCCAAAUGCCUCAUCAUCCAAUUAGUGAUGUGCAUGAAUGGAUAAAUGAGAUUCCCACUGUCCCUAGUUACUAUCAAGCAAAACGACAGCCAAGAGAACAGGCUUGGCAGAAUCAGCAGGGAAAGAAGACCCUGUGAAAGAAGCAUGACUCCAGUCUGGCACUGCAAAGAGACAUCAGAGGAAUAGAACAAAUGGGAGGCCCCGCGGUUAUGCAAUUCAGGCCACGGUCCAGUUGCCAGUGAAAUACUACUGGCAAAAAAAUAAUUUUUUCCACCUACCCAGUGAGGUGGGGGGGGG